rnacentral:rRNA from 1 species
AUUGAACGCUGGCGGCAGGCUUAACACAUGCAAGUCGAACGAUUGGCGGACGGGUGAGUAAUGCUUGGGAAUCUAGCUUAUGGAGGGGGAUAACUACGGGAAACUGUAGCUAAUACCGCGUACCAUAGGAUGAGCCCAAGUGGGAUUAGGUAGGUGGUGAGGUAAAGGCUAACCAAGCCGACGAUCCCUAGCUGGUCUGAGAGGAUGAAAGGCCACACUGGGACUGAGACACGGCCCAGACUCCUACGGGAGGCAGCAGUGGGGAAUAGUGCGCAAUGGGGGGAACCUGACCCAGCCAUGCCGCGUGAAUGAAGAAGGCCUUCGGGUUGUAAAGUUCUUUCGGUAGAGAGGCGUUAACUACAGAAGAAGCACCGGCUAACUCCGUGCCAGCAGCCGCGGUAAUUC